rnacentral:rRNA from 1 species
UACGUAGGUGGCGAGCGUUGUCCGGAUUUACUGGGCGUAAAGAGCGCGCAGGCGGUCGUACAAGUCGCGUGUGAAAGCCCCUGGCUCAACUGGGGAGGGUCACGCGAUACUGUUCGACUUGAAGGCAGGAGAGGGAAGUGGAAUUCCCGGUGUAGUGGUGAAAUGCGUAGAUAUCGGGAGGAACACCAGUGGUGUAGACGGCUUUCUGGACCGUAACUGACGCUGAGACACGAAAGCGUGGGUAGCAAACAGG